AGCACGGUAGCUCGGGGUAGAGCGCUGGGCUCAUAACCCAAUGAUCCCUGGAUCGAAACCAGGUCGUGCUA
rnacentral:tRNA from 1 species